GAAAACCAUCAAAGAUAAAAAAUGGUUGAAAGAAACCUGAUUUACAAUUCUGCCAUAUUGAGCCGAAAUCCACAUCAUUCUCAUAGAGAUCUUUGAAUGUUUCAAAUCCAACCACUUUGACUUCUAUUGCUAAUAAUAAAGAAUACUUUCUGCUCAAUACAUCACUAACUACAUUUUGAACACCAGAUUUGUGCUUGAUUGUAAAGUUGUAAGAUUGUAAAA
rnacentral:lncRNA from 1 species